GUAGGUGGCAAGCGUUGUCCGGAAUUAUUGGGCGUAAAGCGCGCAGGCGGUUCUUUAAGUCUGAUGUGAAAGCCCACGGCUCAACCGUGGAGGGUCAUUGGAAACUGGAGAACUUGAGUACAGAAGAGGAAAGCGGAAUUCCACGUGUAGCGGUGAAAUGCGUAGAGAUGUGGAGGAACACCAGUGGCGAAGGCGGCUUUCUGGUCUGUAACUGACGCUGAGGCGCGAAAGCGUGGGGAGCAAACAGGGAUUAGAUACCCUGGUAGUCCACGCCGUAAACGAUGAGUGCUAAGUGUUAGGGGGUUUCCCGCCCCUUAGUGCUGCAGCUAACGCAUUAAGCACUCCGCCUGGGGAGUACGGCCGCAAGGCUG
rnacentral:rRNA from 1 species